rnacentral:tRNA from 5 species
CGAGGUGUAGCGCAGUCUGGUCAGCGCAUCUGUUUUGGGUACAGAGGGCCAUAGGUUCGAAUCCUGUCACCUUGACCA